AUUUAUACUUCGCAAAACUCAGCAAUUUUUUGAUGAGAUGGCGGAUCCAGACUUGUUGGAAGAGUCCUCAUCCCUCUUGGAACCAAGUGAGAUGGGAAGAGGCACGCCUUUAAGACUUGGCUUCGUGGCUGGUGUCAUUAACCGGGAGCGCAUCCCUACUUUUGAGCGCAUGCUUUGGCGGGUAUGCCGGGGAAAUGUGUUCCUGCGACAGGCUGAAAUCGAGAACCCCCUGGAGGAUCCUGUGACUGGCGACUACGUGCACAAGUCUGUGUUUAUCAUUUUCUUCCAAGGCGAUCAGCUGAAAAACAGAGUCAAGAAAAUCUGUGAAGGGUAAGAGAGGCAUGCCUCUACCAGAAGUGCACAGCCAUGCUGCCCAAGUGUUGAGUCUUAAAGUUCAGAAUAGUGAAAUACAAAUCCUUUUUAGUCUACCUCAACACAGUUAAUUUUAAUAAUGUUAGGGGCUAUUUUAUUCAAUUAGAAAUAGCCUGAAUUCAUUUUUAUUUUUAUUUUUGUUGUUCAGACGGGGGGUCUCACUCUGUUGCCCA
rnacentral:sRNA from 1 species